AGUGAACGCUGGCGGUAGGCCUAACACAUGCAAGUCGAACGGCAGCACAGUAAGAGCUUGCCCUUACGGGUGGCGAGUGGCGGACGGGUGAGGAAUACAUCGGAAUCUUCUUUUUCGGGGGGGAUAUCGUAGGGAAACUUAUGCUAAUACCGCAUACGUUCUACGGCUUAAAGCAAGGGAUCUUCGGACCUUUCGCGAUUCAAUUAGCUGAUGUCGGAUUAGCUAGUUGGCGGGGUAAAGGCCCACCAAGGCGACGAUCCGUAGCUGGUCUGAGAGGAUGAUCAGCCACACUGGAACUGAGACACGGUCCAGACUCCUACGGGAGGCAGCAGUAGGGAAUAUUGGACAAUGGGCGCAAGCCUGACGGAGCCAUGCCGCGUGAGUGAAGAAGGACUUCGGGUUGUAAAACCCUGUUGUUAGGAAAGAAAAGCAGCAGGAGAAUACCCGGAUGUUUUGACGGUACCCAAAGAGAAAGCACCGGCUAACUACGUG
rnacentral:rRNA from 1 species